rnacentral:tRNA from 1 species
GGGAAUGUAGCUUAGUGGUAGAGUGCUUGCCUAGCAUGCAUGAAGCCCUGGGUUCGAGUCCUUAAUACUA